UACGAGGGGGGCUAAUGUUGUUCGGAAUCACUGGGCCUAAAGGGUGCGUAGGCGGCUUGAUAAGUCAGUGGUGAAAUCCGGUGGCCCAACCAUCGAACUGCCAUUGAUACUGUUGAGCUUGAGUGCGUGAGGGGUAACCGGAACGAGUGGUGUAGCGGUGAAAUGCGUAGAUAUCACUCGGAAGGCCAACGGCGAAGGCAGGUUACUGGUGCGCAACUGACGCUGAGGCACGAAAGCGUGGGGAGCAAACAGG
rnacentral:rRNA from 1 species